rnacentral:rRNA from 1 species
UGGUGGAGUGAUUUGUCUGCUUAAUUGCGAUAACGAACGAGACCUUAACCUGCUAAAUAGUCAGGCUAGCUUUGGCUGGUCGCAGGCUUCUUAGAGGGACUAUCGGCUUCAAGCCGAUGGAAGUUUGAGGCAAUAACA